rnacentral:rRNA from 1 species
AACGAACGCUGGCGGCGUGGCUAAGACAUGCAAGUCGAACGGAUUAUCUAAUUGAGCAAUCGAAAGGAUAGUCAGUGGCGAAAGGGUGCGUAAUAGAUAGGUAACGUACCCUAUGCUUCGGGAUAAUGUCGUUACGAGCAAUCGUAACUACCGAAAGGGGCAAUAAUACCGAAUGAAAUCAGCUGUCGACAGACAGUUGAUCAAAGGUGCAAAUCGGCAUAGGAGCGGCCUAUUUCCUAUCAGCUAGUUGGUGAGGUAAUGGCCCACCAAGGCAAUGACGGGUAGCGGGGCUGAGAGGUCGGCCCGCCUCAUCGGGACUGAGACACUGCCCGGACCUCCACGGAGGGCUGCAGUAACGAAUCUUGCGCAAUGGGCGAAAGCCUGACGCAGCGACGCCGCGUGUGGGAUGAAGUCCCUCGGGAUGUAAACCACUGUCAGGGAGAAGAAAGUGCGCUUCGGCGCAUUGAUCUAUCCCAGAGGAAGUCACGGCUAACUCUGUGCCAGCAGCCGCGGUAAUACAGAGGUCCCAAGCGUUGUUCGGAUUCACUGGGCGUAAAGGGUGCGUAGGCGGUUGGGUAAGUCUGACGUGAAAUACCGAAGCUCAACUUCGGAACGGCGUCGGAAACUAUCCGGCUAGAGGAUUGGAGGGGGGACUGGAAUUCUCGGUGUAGCAGUGAAAUGCGUAGAUAUCGAGAGGAACACCCGUGGCGAAGGCGAGUCCCUGGACAAUUCCUGACGCUGAGGCACGAAAGCUAGGGGAGCAAACAGGAUUAGAUACCCUGGUAGUCCUAGCCUUAAACGGUGCACGUUUGCUGUGGGCGGAAUCGACCCCGCCCGUGGCGAAGCUAACGCGUUAAACGUGCCGCCUGGGGAGUACGGCCGCAAGGUUAAAACUCAAAGAAAUUGACGGGGGCCUGCACAAGCGGUGGAGUAUGUGGCUCAAUUCGAUGCAACGCGAAGAACCUUACCUGGCCUUGACAUGUGCGUAGUAGAAGGGUGAAAGCCUGACGAGGUCGCAAGACCAGCGUACACAGGUGCUGCAUGGCUGUCGUCAGCUCGUG